rnacentral:tRNA from 1 species
GCGUGUGUGUUGAAAUUGGUAGACAAGCUACUUUGAGGUGGUAGUGCUGUUUUUGGCGUAAGAGUUCGAGUCUCUUCAUACGCA